UACGGGGGGGCAAGCGUUGUUCGGAAUUACUGGGCGUAAAAGGGCUCGUAGGCGGCCAACUAAGUCGGAUGUGAAAUCCCCAGGCUCAACCUGGGAACUGCAUCCGAUACUGGAUGGCUUGAAUUCGGGAGAGGGAUGCAGAAUUCCAGGUGAUAGCGGUGAAAUGCGUAGAUAUCUGGAGGAACACCGGUGGCGAAGGCGGCAUCCUGGACCGAGAUUGACGCUGAGGAGCGAAAGCCAGGGGAGCAAAGCGGG
rnacentral:rRNA from 1 species